GUGAAAAUGACCAGAAACUACGUAACCUGCAGAAACAAAGCCACUGAGCCUGUCUGCCUGGCAAGUAGCAGUAAACAGGCCUGCUUUCAUUUUUACAUUCAUUUUUAACUUCAAAAUGGUCCUUGUUCUCUUCUCAAAUGUAUAUGUAUGCCUUGAACGUUGGAGGGGAAGCACUGAAGUAUAUACUGUAGGCCCGUCAUCUGUUUCCGUGGAAAGUCCACUCCGUGUUUUCACUUUCAGUUUAAGUCAGCAUUUUAAAGGGACCUUUUAAAAUGUGGAUAUGCGAAUUAGUUUUUUAGAUAAAAUGAGUGAGAACCAUUACGUCUUUGUAAAUAACACGCAGUUGCUGAUUCCAUUUUGAAGUGAAGGAGCUGUAGGGAAACUGAUCUCAGCUCUGUUGGAACAGACAGCAGCAGCUGUGAAUGGGAGUUGCUUGGCACUGUUGCUGAUUUUGACUGAAGGGCUCACCGAAGUAAAAGUGAAACUACAGAGUGCGCUGACACGCAGGCCAGCCGUUUGUUUCUUUGUUCGGUUUAUCAAACAUUAAAAUAAUUUGUGGACGGAUUAUCUUUAUAUAGUUUAAUCUCCAUAUGGAAUAAUGUGGUGGAAGCAUAAUGUAAGGGUCACAAUCUGCAAAGGAUCAGAAGUGGCCCUGGUGCCCUCCACCUCUGUCUGCAACAGGAGCAGGAAGAAAACAGCAUGAUGGAGGUCUGUCUGUAAAGGAACUAUGUCUGAAACAAAGAUGGAGACACUGAGAACUGCAGAAAUAUACUAAAUAUGGACAUACAGUAAAAAUGAGGUCUGUAGUCAGUACAUAUAGUAUAAUCUUUCACAUCUGCUUUUUAAUGGUUUUAUCAGUUUGUCCAGUCUAGAGUUUACGGACGUCAGGAGAUGAGCUCGUAAGCUGUCAGUUAAUAUGUAUCAUCAUGACUUUAUUGUUGUUUUAAUAUUUAAAAAGUCUUAUCACAAACCUUCAUGGUAAUACAGUAUAUAUGUUCACUUGACCAUUGCUGACCUGGUAUUUUUAUAGCAUUCGAUAGUAGUAGGAAAAAAAACUGAUAUCAUAAACUGAACAAAAGGGGUUAUUCAUGUGCAGUUGUCUUAUCAAAUGUUUAACGUACAGCAUCCUGGUAUCAGCCAGACCUGUGUAUGAUUAGUUAAUAAUUGAUUUGUUGUUCAUUUGCUUCUCCACAAAAGUACUUUUAAGCUCAUCAGUACAAACAUCAAAUAACUUGAUCACAAAGGUUCCAUAAUAUUAACUUGCACAUAAUAAAUUACAAUAAGAAAUGAA